rnacentral:rRNA from 1 species
AUGGAAGCCACGGAAGAAUUUUCCGAAGCCGGCAUAUGUGUCCCUCCAGUUGAUCUGCCUUCUAUAAAGGCGGCCACAAACGAUUUUUCUGAUAGCAAUAUCAUCGGCAAAGGCGGAUUUGGCGUUGUUUACACGGCACUACUAAAUGGUGUUAUCGUCGCUGUAAAGAGACUCAAACCAUCUGGCCUUACCGAAAAAGGCAAGAAGGACUUCACAAGAGAAGUGGAAGUGAUGUCAACGGUCACACAUAAUAAUCUGGUGAAACUAGUUUCCUAUUGCCAGGAAGAGGACGAGUGGAUACUAGUCUACGAGUACAUGCCCAACAAAAGUUUGAGCCCCUACAUAUUUGGAGAAAACUCAUCACCCGGUCCAUCAUUGACUUGGGUUCAAAGGCUAGAGAUAAUCCAUGGUGUUGCGGUAGGUGUUGAGUACCUUCACAACAAGGAAGUCAUCCACAGAGAUCUUAAGUUGUCGAACAUACUCUUGGAUCACGAGUUAAAGCCUAAGAUAGCGGACUUCGGCACCGCAAAGCUAUUUAUUGAUGAUCAGACGAACCCAACAGUAGUACAGACACCGGGGUACAUUGCUCCAGAGUAUGCAAGGGAAGCCUACCUGACGCUCAAGUGUGACGUAUACAGUUUUGGAGUGGUCUUGCUAGAGAUAGUCUCUGGCAAAAAGAACGUAAAAAAGUUUCUUCUUGAUGCGUGGGGGUUCUGGAACAAAGGGAAAAUCAAGGCCCUUCUUGAUUCGCAAGUGGCUGAACCUAACCAACAGCUCUCAUUGGAACUAUCCAGGGUUAUCCAGAUCGGGCUUCUCUGCGUGCAACCAAUGCCCGAUGACAGGCCUAGCAUGCCAGAGGUGGUCGUAAUGCUAACGGACAGCAGUUCAGGGCUGGCUAAGCCCAAGAAGCACGUGGUCGGCCCUGGUCAAGCAACC